rnacentral:rRNA from 1 species
GACGAACGCUGGCGGCGUGCCUAAUACAUGCAAGUAGAACGCUGAAGGAGGAGCUUGCUUCUCUGGAUGAGUUGCGAACGGGUGAGUAACGCGUAGGUAACCUGCCUGGUAGCGGGGGAUAACUAUUGGAAACGAUAGCUAAUACCGCAUAAUAGUAGAUGUUGCAUGACAUUUGCUUAAAAGGUGCAAUUGCAUCACUACCAGAUGGACCUGCGUUGUAUUAGCUAGUUGGUGGGGUAACGGCUCACCAAAGCGACGAUACAUAGCCGACCUGAGAGGGUGAUCGGCCACACUGGGACUGAGACACGGCCCAGACUCCUACGGGAGGCAGCAGUAGGGAAUCUUCGGCAAUGGACGGAAGUCUGACCGAGCAACGCCGCGUGAGUGAAGAAGGUUGUCGGAUCGUAAAGCUCUGUUGUAAGAGAAGAACGAGUGUGAGAGUGGAAAGUUCACACUGUGACGGUAGCUUACCAGAAAGGGACGGCUAACUACGUG